rnacentral:lncRNA from 1 species
UUCAUAGCAUCCGUAUCAUUCCACAAGGAAUCAUGACUAUCUUCCAUUUUUUGGACCAAGGCAUCAUGGUUACUCUUCAUGUCUCGGCCCAAGGCCUCAAUUUGAGCCAUCAAGGCUCCAAUAGCAUCAUUUCCCAAAGAUUGGGAAGUAGUACCCCCAGAUUCCAUGGAAAAAUGCACCUACAAAGUGCAAAAAACAGCAAGCAAAACAACCUACAAAAUGAACAAACGAGUUAGUUCAAAAGCCUCACUUCACUCACACUCAACCUCACCUCACACUUGGUUUCACAAGUGUUGGAGAAUCGGCAAUACUUGGCAAGUUACUCGAGAGGUGAGAAGCUUUGGAUCGGAAUUGAUCUUGGAUUGAUACAACUCAAAUAAAGUGAUGCACGCACUUGAACCAAC